UUGGAGGGCAAGUCUGGUGCCAGCAGCCGCGGUAAUUCCAGCUCCAAUAGCGUAUAUUAAAGUUGUUGCAGUUAAAAAGCUCGUAGUUGAAUUUCGGGAUCAGAGUGUCGGUCGUGCCUCGGUACGAACUGGUAUUAUUGGUUCCUACCUUCUGAAGAACCGCGAUGUCAUUAAUUUGGUGUCGUGGGGAAUCAGGACUGUUACUUUGAAAAAAUUAGAGUGUUUAAAGCAGGCUUACGCUUGAAUACAUUAGCAUGGAAUAAUGAAAUAGGACGUUUGAUUCUAUUUUGUUGGUUUCUAGGAUUGACGUAAUGAUUAAUAGGGUUAGUUGGGGGCAUUAGUAUUCAAUUGUCAGAGGUGAAAUUCUUGGAUUUAUUGAAGACUAACUACUGCGAAAGCAUUUGCCAAGGAUGUUUUCAUUAAUCAAGAACGAAAGUUAGGGGAUCGAAGACGAUCAGAUACCGUCGUAGUCUUAACCAUAAACUAUGCCGACUAGGGAUCGGAUGAUGUUAAUUUUUUAAUGACUCAUUCGGCGCCUUACGGGAAACCAAAGUGUUUGGGUUC
rnacentral:rRNA from 1 species